AGGUAACGUGUGAGGGCUCUGGGUCCACCUCCCACCCGUGUUUAUCGUACCUUGUUGCUUCGGCGGGCCCGCCGCAAGGCCGCCGGGGGGCAUCUGCCCUCUGGCCCGCGCCCGCCGAAGACACCAUUGAACGCUGUCUGAAGAUUGCAGUCUGAGCAAUUAGUUAAAUAACUUAAAACUUUCAACAACGGAUCUCUUGGUUCCGGCAUCGAUGAAGAACGCAGCGAAAUGCGAUACGUAAUGUGAAUUGCAGAAUUCAGUGAAUCAUCGAGUCUUUGAACGCACAUUGCGCCCCCUGGUAUUCCGGGGGGCAUGCCUGUCCGAGCGUCAUUGCUGCCCUCAAGCACGGCUUGUGUGUUGGGCUCCGUCCUCCUUCCGGGGGACGGGCCCGAAAGGCAGCGGCGGCACCGCGUCCGGUCCUCGAGCGUAUGGGGCUUCGUCACCCGCUCUGCAGGCCCGGCCGGCGCUUGCCGACACAUCAAUCUUUUUUCCAGGUUGACCUCGGAUCAGGUAGGGAUACCCGCUGAACUUAAGCAUAUCAAAAGCCGGAGGAA
rnacentral:rRNA from 1 species